rnacentral:misc_RNA from 1 species
GAUGAAGAACGCAGCGAAAUGCGAUAAGUAAUGUGAAUUGCAGAAUUCAGUGAAUCAUCGAGUAUUUGAACGCACAUUGCGCCCCCUGGUAUUCCGGGGGGCAUGCCUGUCCGAGCGUCAUUGCUGCCCUCAAGCACGGCUUGUGUGUUGGGCCCCCGUCCCCGGUUUCCCCCGGGGACGGGCCCGAAAGGCAGCGGCGGCACCGCGUCCGGUCCUCGAGCGUAUGGGGCUUUGUCACCCGCUCUGUAGGCCCGGCCGGCGCCAGCCGACACCCAACUUUAUUUCUAAGGUUGACCUCGGAUCAGGUAGGGAUACCCGCUGAACUUAAGCAUAUCAAUAAGCGGAGGA